GACGAACGCUGGCGGCGUGCUUAACAAAUGCAAGUCGAACGAAGUGGCGAACGGGUGAGUAACGCGUAAUCAACCUGCCCUUCAGAGGGGGACAACAGUUGGAAACGACUGCUAAUACCGCAUACUGAAGGGGGGGAUUUGGUCUGAUUAGCUAGUUGGAGGGGGAACGGCCCACCAAGGAGAGGAUCAGGAGCCGGUCUGGUAGGAUGAACGGCCACAUUGGGACUGAGACACGGCCCAGACUCCUACGGGAGGCAGCAGUGGGGAAUCUUCCGCAAUGGACGAAAGUCUGACGGAGCAACGCCGCGUGAGUGAUGACGGCCUUCGGGUUGUAAAGCUCUGUUAAUCGGGACGCGGUACCGGAAUAGAAAGCCACGGCUAACUACGUGCCAGCAGCCGCGGUAAUUC
rnacentral:rRNA from 1 species